rnacentral:rRNA from 1 species
AUACGUAGGUGGCAAGCGUUGUCCGGAAUUAUUGGGCGUAAAGGGCGCGCAGGCGGUCUGUUAAGUCUGAUGUGAAAUCUUACGGCUCAACCGUAAGCGUGCAUUGGAAACUGGUAGACUUGAGUACAGAAGAGGAGAGUGGAAUUCCACGUGUAGCGGUGAAAUGCGUAGAGAUGUGGAGGAACACCAGUGGCGAAGGCGACUCUCUGGUCUGUUACUGACGCUGAGGCGCGAAAGCGUGGGGAGCAAACAGGAUUAGAUACCCUGGUAGUCCACGCCGUAAACGAUGAGUGCUAGGUGUUAGAGGUUUCGAUACCUUUAGUGCCGAAGUCAACACAUUAAGCACUCCGCCUGGGGAGUACGGCCGCAAGGCUGAA